rnacentral:ncRNA from 2 species
GGGUUCGGGAAAGCAUUCCCGGAGGAUUAAGAUGGUCGGGCCGCCAUCU